GAAGGGCCAUCGCUCAACGGAUAAAAGCUACCCCGGGGAUAACAGGCUUAUCUCCCCCAAGAGUCCACAUCGACGGGGAGGUUUGGCACCUCGAUGUCGGCUCGUCUCAUCCUGGGGCUGGAGUAGGUCCCAAGGGUUGGGCUGUUCGCCCAUUAAAGAGGCACGCGAGCUGGGUUCAGAACGUCGUGAGACAGUUCGGUCCCUAUCCGUCGCAGGCGUAGGAAAUUUGAGAGGAGCUGUCCUUAGUACGAGAGGACCGGGAUGGACGCACCUCUGGUGCACCAGUUGUCACGCCAGUGGCACAGCUGGGUAGCUAUGUGCGGAAUGGAUAAGCGCUGAAGGCAUCUAAGCGCGAAGCCAACCUCAAGAUAAGAUUUCCCACUUCAUAGAAGGUAAGAUCCCAGAAAGACUAUCUGGUUGAUAGGCCCAGGGUGUAAGUGCAGCAAUGCAUUCAGCUGAUGGGUACUAAUAGAUCGAGGACUUGACCAA
rnacentral:ncRNA from 1 species